GAAAAAUCAAUCUAUAUCUGUUAAUAAGAUAGCCCAUGUUUUUCGUCGGUCUGAGACAAAGAUUUCAUGCUUUCCAAUGGCCUUGUGGCAUGUUUAUAUAAACAGGCACAAGAAAUCGUUCAGUCACUCAUGUCUUGGAAAGUAUAUUGAGCAGAUGUCCACAAGCCAUUGAACAGCCAUUGUUUCAUCCACUCUUUGUUGUUGCUUUGACUAGAUAACCAACUGCAAAUUGGAGGCUCCAUCUUUUGCCUGAUGACAUGAUCAAGUACUUAUGCACCAAAGCAAAUUUGUGUUUCUUUAGUUCUUUUUCAAUUGAAACCAACAGUGGAAGAUUGUGUAGCUUAAAAUUCUGUUCUAGUUUAUAAUUUGUCACAAUGUCAGUAUAAAUUGUGUCACAAUGUGUUUUAUUUUCAAUUUUUUAAUGAGAUGUUCAGUUUU